rnacentral:rRNA from 1 species
UGAGGAAUAUUGGGCAAUGCCCGCAAGGGUGACCCAGCAACGCCGCGUGGAGGAUGAAUGUCGUAAGAUUGUAAACUCCUGUUAGAGGGGAAGAAUAGUACCGGUUGGACCGGUAUAUGACUGUACCCUCAGAGAAAGCCCCGGCUAACUACGUGCCAGCAGCCGCGGUAAUACGUAGGGGGCAAGCGUUGUCCGGAUUUACUGGGUGUAAAGGGCGCGCAGGCGGGAUAAAAAGUCAGUGGUGAAAUCCUACAGCUUAACUGUAGAACUGCCUUUGAUACUUUUAUUCUUGAGUUCGGGAGAGAGAGACGGAAUUCCAGGUGUAGUGGUGAAACACGUAGAUAUCUGGAAGAAAACUAGUUGCGAAGG